CAGGAGUACGCAUCACAGUCCAGUGGAGCAGCAGGACCUUUGAGAACUCCUGGUCUGGCUUUGUUGAGAAGUUAUUGUUCCUCCUCUAAUACUUCUUCACCUUGUGCAUCUUUUCCAGCGUUUCAUCAUGAUCUUGACUGAACACUUGGUGCGCUGUGAAACCGAUGGGACCAGUAUAUUGACCCCGUGGUAUAAGAACUGCAUCGAGAGGCUGCAGCAGAUCUUCCUACAGCAUCACCAGAUAAUCCAGCAGUACAUGGUGACCCUGGAGAACCUGCUCUUCACGGCAGAGUUAGAUCCUCACAUCCUGGCUGUGUUCCAGCAGUUCUGUGCUCUGCAGGCCUAACAGUCACGUUUUCCCCUUUUUAUUAUCUUGAAAUAACUUGUCUGAAUUUUGAUGGUUUGAAUGUUUGCUUUCCUGUAGUAGCCUUUCACUUCCUAAAGGAAAUGGGGGAGGAGUGUGAGGAACAUGAGCUGACCGACCUUUAGUUGCCCUGAAGGGCAAGUGUUACUCGAUGACAGUGAUGUUAUGGUGACUGUAGAGUUGUACAUAUGGGAUAGAUUUGAUACUUUUUCUCCUUAGUGCACAGAACAAGAGGUUUGAGGUGUUCGAAAUGCAAGGUCAGGCUUGCAAAAUAGUAGAUACAACCGACAGGCUAUCCCCGGGGAGCGUAGCUUUUCUCUGCUCCUGGGAAACAUGGCUGGAAUAAACUGCAGUUGUGUUUUUU
rnacentral:lncRNA from 1 species